CCUACGGGUGGCAGCAGUGAGGAAUAUUGGUCAAUGGCCGAGAGGCUGAACCAGCCAAGUCGCGUGAGGGAAGACGGCCCUACGGGUUGUAAACCUCUUUUGUCGGGGAGCAAAGCGAGUCACGUGUGACUCAUUGAGAGUACCCGAAGAAAAAGCAUCGGCUAACUCCGUGCCAGCGGCCGCGUUACUACGGGGGAUGCGAGCGUUAUCCGGAUUUAUUGGGUUUAAAGGGUGCGCAGGCGGUGGGGCAAGUAAGCGGUAAAAUUGCGGGGCUCAACCCCGUACUGCCGUUGAAACUGCAUCCCUUGAGUGCGCGAGAAGUAUGCGGAAUGCGUGGUGUAGCGGUGAAAUGCAUAGAUAUCACGCAGAACUCCGAUUGCGAAGGCAGCAUACCGGCGCGCAACUGACGCUCAUGCACGAAAGCGUGGGUAUCGAACAGGAUUAGAUACCCCAGUAGUC
rnacentral:rRNA from 1 species